GACGAACCGUGCGAACGUUUGUUCGGAAUCACUGGGCUUAAAAGAGCGCGUAGGCGGCGCGGUACGACCGCUGUGAAAGCCCCCCAGCUCAACUGGGGAGGGUCAGCGGUACGGCCGUGCUAUGAGUGCAGGAGAGGGAAGUGGAACUCCGGGGAGUAGCGGUGAAAUGCGUAGAUAUCAGGAGGAACACCGGUGGUGUAGACGGCUCUCUGGACCGUAACUGACGCUGAGGCACGAAAGCGUGGGUAGCAAACAGG
rnacentral:rRNA from 1 species